UGAAUAUUCAGGUUAGGUGGUACUAUAAAAGCUCAUGGCCUAUAUUUCACAUAUUAUUGACUAGAUGCCAAAUAGUUUCACGCAAACUUUUCCAGAAUCACACCAUAUAUGUUGAAUCAUCAAAAUUUGAUAUAUACCUCAGGGGAAAAGGGAGUAGAAGAUAAACUGAACAUUAUUCAAGAUCAAAAUUUUGCCUGAAGAAGAAAUGCAGUGGGAAAUACGUAACUGGAAGAGUCUUCUUCGCUUGAACUUUUUGUUACAGAGUCUAGAACUUUCUUCCUGUUGUGAAGUCGGGCACUGCCAUUCAUCAGAUUCAGAAAGGAAUCUGAACCAAGUUGUGAGGCAGGUAUCGAACAUAUAUCAUUCGGGUAACUUCAAGCGGUUGAAGAGUACAAGGAAACUAUGCUCGGGAACUACGUGGAGAAGCCCGAGAUCUGCACCUUUGACGUAUGGCCCAAUACCCCUGCCAUUUAGUUGGAGAAGUUCUCCAUCAACCCAUUGUGGAUUUCGGAAUCCAAAUUCAGCUAUUCUUCCUUGACCUUUAUAACUUGCAACCACUCCCAGUUCAUCUGGAUACAUUCCACGGUUGGCAGUGCGGUUUACUCUCCCAAUUUUAGCCCGGAAAAUGAUCUGGCCAGCAGGAAUAUUAAGAUCACCAGUCAGCUUUACUGCCUCUACAUACUCAAAGAACUCCAUAUCUGAAGUUUCGUCCUUGUCAUCCAAAUCAUUCCAAUGUCCAAAUUUUCGUCUCAACUGCACCACCUCAGUGCCAUAAGGGCCGAAUGCACCAACAUAGAGACCAUCAAAUGGAUCUAGGUCUCCUCUCGAUGUGGUAAUCCGAUUGAAAGUAGUAUAUUCAGAUAGUUUACUCCGCUUCUGUGCUUGACUGACUGCCAGUUUGACUAUCUCACGAACAUUCCUUGAAAUCUUUGGAGAAACCUUAUCAACACCCCAAAAUGCUUUGGCAACAUCAGCAGGCAUAAGCUCGGAAACACCUUGGGCUGCCAAAGCUGCCACUUUGACCUUCGGGACUUUAUUUUCUGCAGCAUCAAGAUCUAGGCCUCUCCCAGGAAUAUGCAGCACAAAAGAAUCUCUAUCCAUAUCCUGAAUAUAAGCUGGAUGGCGUACAAACUCCUCCUUUGUAGGAGUCUCUUCACUGUUAUGUACAACCCCACCAAUAUAAAGCUUCAUAUCUAGAUCUUUUUCAUCGUCACUAGCAUCGCUAUUCUCACCUAAUGAAACUGCCUCAGGCUGAAUCUCAUCUAACUUAUCCAUUUCAUCAUCAGAAUUCCCACCAGUCUCUGUCUUCUCGCUAUCUUCUUGCAUCAAUUGCUUGACAGAGUUAGCAUCCUCAAUGACUUCCUUGGAAACAUUGAUAUUCGUUACUUUAACUUUUAAUCCCGGAAUUUUAUCUUUCAAAAAAUUUAUCACCCCCUUUAUUCCCUCCUCAGUAGCUCCUUCCACAGUAACACCCUUUUCCUCACUUGGCUCCUUCGUAGCCUCAUUCUCUGGAAUGUCUACAGCAGCUUGAUUCUUGACUCCAGAUGUGGAGGGGCUAUUUGAAGGCUCUGAUGGUGGACUUGUUGAGAUUUUUGAAUUUCCUUUGGAUCGUUGCAAGUACACUACCUGCAUGACAUAUCUCUCCUCAUCAUCUUUGACAAUAAAGAUCUCAAACAAUGGAGUUCCUGGUGAUGCAGUAACCAACUGUCUUGGACUGUAACCCCUCCCAAUAAAUCUCCCGACUCCAGGAGUUAUACGUAUUAAUCUGCCAAAGGGAUCAUCUGAAUCUUGAGAGUACCCCACCCACCAUCCCACCAAUCCACUUCCUGUGCAUUUACACAACAUUGAAGCAUCUUGGUAUCGCUCCUCCUCUAUUGCACUCUUCAACUGGUUCAUAAUUUCAGCAACACUGUCCUUUUGUGUAGUUUCAGCAAUAGCCAGUUUCAAUUUUGCAGCUUCUUCAAAGUCUUCUUUCUCAACGGCCUCUUCAAGUUGAAACUUGAGAACAGAGGCAAAGCUUUCAGCCUGUUCCAUUUCAGAGAAAUACCGGUUCCACCUA
rnacentral:misc_RNA from 1 species